rnacentral:rRNA from 1 species
CCCUACAAACCACCCUGAACGUGCCUUAUCUCGUCUGAUCUCGGAAGCUAAGCAGGGUCUGGCCUGGUUAGUACAAAAAAUAAGAUAUUAAAUAAUAUCCUGACUUAGAAAGUUAGUCUGUUGAGU